GGCCUAAAAACGGGAGGGGAGCUUUCWUUUUUUUUUUUUAAUUAUUUUUCUUUAUUAGCCAUUUGCAGACUUUCCCACCAGUAGGGACGAGCAGCCUGUCGGAGCCGGGCGGCCGAUUUGCUCACUUGAGUGAGGAGCGGCGGCCGCAGGGCGUCUUCUGGCAGGAGCCGACSAUGCCGGAGUCCGCGUAGCAGAAACCUAAACAGAGCUCGACGCUCCAGCCCUCGCCCCUGGAAAAGGCAGCGGGCGCCGAAUCCGGCGGCUGGGGAUGCCGGGGAGCCGGCAGCGGACGGACUUUUAGGCACGGAAAUGCCGCUCCUGUGCGAGCGGCGACAGCUGAGCGGCAGCUGCCGGGGCCGGAUUGUCCCGCGGGGCCGCCGCUGGAGCAGGCG
rnacentral:lncRNA from 1 species